rnacentral:rRNA from 1 species
UUNUGAACUGGGUGACUAGAGUGUGUCAGAGGGAGNUAGAAUUCCACGUGUAGCAGUGAAAUGCGUAGAGAUGUGGAGGAAUACCGAUGGCGAAGGCAGCCUCCUGGGAUAACACUGACGUUCAUGCCCGAAAGCGUGGGUAGCAAACAGGAUUAGAUACCCUGGUAGUCCACGCCCUAAACGAUGUCGAUUAGCUGUUGGGCAGCAUGACUGCUUAGUAGCGAAGCUAACGCGUGAAAUCGACCGCCUGGGGAGUACGGUCGCAAGAUUAAAACUCAAAGGAAUUGACGGGGACCCGCACAAGCGGUGGAUGAUGUGGAUUAAUUCGAUGCAACGCGAAGAACCUUACCUGGUCUUGACAUGUACGGAACCCUUCAGAGACGGAGGGGUGCCUUCGGGAGCCGUAACACAGGUGCUGCAUGGCUGUCGUCAGCUCGUGUCGUGAGAUGUUGGGUUAAGUCCCGCAACGAGCGCAACCCUUGUCAUUAGUUGCCAUCAUUAAGUUGGGCACUCUAAUGAGACUGCCGGUGACAAGCCGGAGGAAGGUGGGGAUGACGUCAAGUCCUCAUGGCCCUUAUGACCAGGGCUUCACACGUCAUACAAUGGUCGGUACAGAGGGUAGCCAAGCCGCGAGGCGGAGCCAAUCUCACAAAACCGAUCGUAGUCCGGAUUGCACUCUGCAACUCGAGUGCAUGAAGUCGGAAUCGCUAGUAAUCGCAGGUCAGCAUACUGCGGUGAAUACGUUCCCGGGUCUUGUACACACCGCCCGUCACACCAUGGGAGUGGGGGAUACCAGA